rnacentral:ncRNA from 2 species
UGUUUGUCUGCGGGAGAGAGCUGACGCAAGUUGGCCACCGAAGGGGAAAUCGCCCGAAAUCUCUCAGGUACAAGGAACCGCAGACGGGUA